GGGGGCGUACCGGUUUCGACGGGAUGUUCGAAGUGCUGGCUGCACGUGGAGGUUGAUCGGCUGGCCUCCUAAAAAGCCGCUCAAAACAAAUAAAUGCAGACUCUAACGAGCUCGCACUGGCUGCUUAAUUGACAGCCACGCCUGAACCCCGACGCCUACUGAGGGGGACGGCGAACAUCCAGUGGGCUGGCCUUGGAGCCGGGAGACCGGGCACCUCGGUGAGAUCAAACAGGUCCCUAGGAGAGAAGACGCCGCCGACGGGCCGACGCUCUCCGAAAUACCAGAUCGUCGGCUAAACGUGUAGAUGCCCGCGUGGAAGAUGUUUCGGACAGGGGUUCAACUCCCCUCGCCUCCACCA
rnacentral:tmRNA from 1 species